rnacentral:rRNA from 1 species
AGGUUCGAUCGAAGGAACAAUCAGGAUAUAUCUGAUUGGGCAAACAAACACCAUGCAUGGAUACAAAUUUGGGAUCAAAGAGACACGCUAGUGCAAUCAGAGAAUAGACCUCACAAUCAGUCAGCAUAUCAGAAGUAUCAAGUGUGGUAUGCGGAUCGUUACCGGUUAAAGCUAAAGCCUGGUUGGACUCACGAGGAGUGGUCGGAGUUGGUGUCUGAAGACCCGGAGACUGCAGAAGGUUAUCAGACCUUCAACACGGCUGUGAGAGACACCAGAGGGGCUCAUGUUGACUAUGCACCGAUGCAUGACGAAAUGGUAGUCUAA